GCUUACGGCCAUACCUCUCUGGCUCCGCCUGAUCUCGUCUGAUCUCAGAAGCUAAGCAGAGUAGGGCCUGGUUAGUACUUGAAUGGAAGACCGCCUGGGAAUCCCAGGUGCCGUAAGCU
ensembl:rRNA 5S_rRNA 5S ribosomal RNA